GUGCCAGCAGCCGCGGUAAUACGUAGGUCCCGAGCGUUGUCCGGAUUUAUUGGGCGUAAAGCGAGCGCAGGCGGUUAGAUAAGUCUGAAGUUAAAGGCUGUGGCUUAACCAUAGUACGCUUUGGAAACUGUUUAACUUGAGUGCAAGAGGGGAGAGUGGAAUUCCAUGUGUAGCGGUGAAAUGCGUAGAUAUAUGGAGGAACACCGGUGGCGAAAGCGGCUCUCUGGCUUGUAACUGACGCUGAGGCUCGAAAGCGUGGGGAGCAAACAGGAU
rnacentral:rRNA from 1 species